rnacentral:lncRNA from 10 species
GUGUGUGUGUCUUCGUAGUAUAUGUAUGUGUUGUGUGUUUGUGCAUGGUGUGUAUGUGUCUGUGUGGUGUGUGUGUGUCUGUGUGUAUGUGUCUCUGUGAAUGGGUGUGUGUGCAUAUGUGGUAUGUGUGGUGUGUGCAGCAGUGUGUGUGUGUGCACGCAUAUACACUGUGUGUGGUAUGUGUGGUAUGAGUGUGUGUGUGAAAUGUGUGUGUCUGUGUGGUGUGUGAUUGUGUGUGUCUGUGUGAAUGUGUGUGUGCAUAUGUGGUGUGUGUGGUGUGUGAGUCUGUG